GCCUGCUAGCUCAGUCGGUAGAGCACGAAACUCUUAAUCUCGGGGUCAUGGGCUCGAGCCCCAAGUUGGGCG